CCCACUUCCAGGCCUUGUGUGGGGACAGGGACUUGGGGUCCUUCUCCACUCAGCCCCUGAGGAAGGGCCCCUUUCUUACCUCCGACGGCCACUUGCUGGCUCCAGGAACAACCCUGUUUGGACUUGAACUUUGCCCCCGGCGACCUCCCCCCGCCCUCUGACCUAUUCUAGCAACAUCCGCGCUCUGUCUCUGUGCCUCCAUCGCGUCCGAACGUGCGGCUCUUCCACGCUCUGUCUGCCUCCACAGGGGCCCCCUCUGCAGCCGUGACACACCCUGGGGUUUUGCUGGGUGUGCUGAGCGUGGGCUCGUGCUCCUUUAAUCUGGGGGAGAAUAAGACUCCCCGGGUCUCUCAGGACUGUGCGUGCUCGUCUCCCAGCGGUUUUGGAAACUUCUCAUCCAGGGCGUUUUUACAGAUGGAGUCUCCAUCGCCCCCGAGCCUGCCCUUGCGGACCCCAGGGCCCGGGAGUGGAGCCCGCAGUCUUCUCGCCCCCUGGCACUCGCCUGCCUGGGUCUGUGCUCCUGGCACAGAGGUUGCUUGUCCUCCGCCUUCUCAGAGUGGGGCUCUGGGGCAGCCGCACAGUGACCAGGCCCCGGGUGUCAGCGGGACCCCGAGUCUGCCCUGCCCAUGAGUGCGUGGCCUUGCUCAGGGCACAGGCACUUGCGGGACGGCCGGCGGGUUCCUGGGCAGAUGCGCAAUGGCACUUGUCACGAUGUCCCCUUCUGUACUGAGAUGUGGACAUUCACUGUUGACCUUCAGGAGGUCAGCGCUCAGCCCGAGCUUUACCCAAUAUGCUGUGUCCAGCGCAUCUGCUGCCCGAGUUUCUGCAGCCCCUCAGCCAUGUCUGCGCCUGCGUCCCGGGUGCCGGGGCCACAACCCCGAGAGGCUCCUCCGGGUCUGGAGGUCGCUGGACUCACCCACGUCCGAUCCAAGGCCGAGACUGCCCCGUGUUUCCGGAUGUUUUCUUACGCUGAAUCUCCUGCUGAACCUCCUCCUGUAAAUUCAUGUUCAUUCUACGAAUUUGUUUAUUCGCACUUCA